CUGCUGCAAAGAUGCCAGCUGCAGUGGGGAAGACAUGGCUAGGGCUGCAUGCUCUGUGGACUGGCAGGGGCCAAGAACAGG
ensembl:miRNA